AAAAAAAAAAAAAAAAAAAAAAAAAAAACAUAACAACCAAACUUCUUUCAACUCCCCGAUGGCUCAAAGACUCAAACACGACACACACGAAUCAUACUCACGAUCCCUAUCCGAAUUACAUCUUCUACGAUCUUUAUGAGAACAAACUGAACCAACCUCGAGUCUGGAUAAGACAUGGAACGAUUGAUAUGAUUUCUUGAUCUGUUAGCCAUGAUUCACUACCACAAGACCACAACAAGGACUUGAACUAGACGAAGCGUCGACGAGCCAAAUGACAAGUAAGCAAGUCUUCGUCUAUGUUCAAUCUCGAGUUAGUCAUGUGUCUCGUAUACUCUUCUCUUGUCGUGGACUCUACUGUACUCACACGAAGGGGUCUCAUACAACAGCCAGCAAGUCAAAUGUCUCAAGUACAAGAGUCUCAGAGUGCUUUACACACGCUAUGCUGACUCUACAUCCGAUCUUGGUCAGUUCAUUGGAGCAGUUCUGAAUCGCCCAAGGCACCACUUCAAAGUCCUGAGCAACCAAAACCAGAGCCAAAGAGUCAUCUUUCAAGCUCCACAGCUCAUUCUAGCUCUUCUACCUCCUUUUUACCCGCUUCGAUCACCUGAGAACGCAACAAUGAUCACACCAGCGUCGAAUUGAGUCAUCACUGCAUAUCCCCUAUGAUGGCAACGCCGUUUGAAACAAGGUCAAAUAGACUCCA
rnacentral:misc_RNA from 1 species